rnacentral:lncRNA from 1 species
AAAACUUACUUCAAUCUUGAUUUUAAAAAACCUAUAACAAAUCAAAAACACAUUAAUUAUUUUAUAUAAAUUUUAAAUUAUUUAAAAACAUAAAUUAAUUCAUUAUUUUUUAAAUAAUUUAAAAACAGAAAAUAAUUCAAACAAAUUUAUUUCAUGCAAAUAAUUAAUUAAGAUAUAGAUUCAUAUAAAUUAUUAAUUAAAUUGAUAUUUAAUUACAAUUUUAAUUAUUUAAUUAACAUUUUAAUUAAGAAAUUAUUUUCAUACAAUUUAAUAAUUAUUAAUUAACAAAUUCUAAUUUCAUGCAAAUUAAUUAUUAUUAAUAGAAUUUAAAAUCAUUACAUUUAUUAAAAAACAGUAAUUAAGAACAAUAUUAAAUAUUUUUAAUUUAUUUCAAAACAUGGUAUUUAAAUUAUGAUAUAGCUAAAUAAUUAAUUAUUUAAAUAAAAUAAUUAAUUUUAUUAAUUUUCUAGAUUAUUUAUUUAUUUUAAAAAAUUAUUAAUUAUUUCAUUAAAAACAGUAAAUUAAUUAAUUAAGUUUAUUAAUUUUAAAAAUAUUUAAAAACAGUAAAUUAUUUAUUUAUUUCAAAAUAUUAUUAAUUAUUUAAUUACAAACAGUAAAUCAAAUAAUUAAUUUCAUUAAUUUUAAAAAUAUUUAAAAACAGUAAAUUAUUUAUUUAUUUCAAAAUAUUAUUAAUUCUUUAAUUAAAAACAGUAAAUCAAAUAAAGAUUUUAAAUUAUUUUUAAAAUUAUUUAUUAAUUCUUUAAUUUAAAAACAGUAAAUUAAUCAAACAUAGAUAAUAUAUAUAGUAUAUAUGAUUCCAAACAUUCCAACACCAUAAAUCAAAAUCAAAUUUCCAAACAUUCAAACACCAUAAAUAAUUCCAUACAUAAAUAAACAAAUCAAAAAUACGAACAAAAAGAUAGAUAGAUAAAGAGAUCAAUAGAUUAGAAUCAAAAACAAAACCCAUCACAAAAACCAUUACAAAUAAAUAACUUUAAGAAUAAAUAACCAUCACAAAAACCAUUACAAAAACCAUCACAAACCCAUCGCAAAAGUUCACAUAUAAAUAAAGUUCACAAAACUUUAAGAAUAUAAAAGUUCACAUAUAAAAUAGAUCAGAAAACAACAAGGAAGAUUCUAUACAGAAGUUCACAUAUACAGAGGUGCUAACAAUAAAUCAUUUAACCUUCUUUGAUGGAGACUCAACUGGACUGCUUGAUUUGAACACUGGAGAAAUGAAAAGUCGAAAGUACUGCCUAGGAUCACUGCCGGCAACAAAUAAUCACAAGAAAAAUAGAUGGUUAAAUACUUUGACUACUUAUGAAUCACAAUGUUACUAUAUAAACAGGAAUUAGAUGAGUUUUGAGAUGAUGAAAUUUAAGUAAUGUGAUAUUGUUGCUGUAUUAAAUAAGAGUCCAUUCACAAGCAUUUUCUCAAAAAUAUCAUUUCAUGAUAUGCAUAAUUGGGCGAGUUUAUUGAAUUGAAAAAAAGGUGAAACCUUCUUGUAUGAUCCAAGUAAUGUAAAUGAUAUCUAUUGUGAUCAAAUGCAACCUAAUGUGAUACAAAAAUUAUUAAUACCGACUUGCAUCUAAACAAACAGAACAAAACAUAAAAUUACAGCAACCCCCCAUAAAAAAUAAAUCAAAACAACCCCCCAUUCAAAACAAAACCCAAAACAAAAAUCAAAACAACACACUCAUACAAUCAAAUUACAGCAACUAUCCAUUCACAUAAUCAUUCAUAUACAAAACAUAAAAUAACAAAAUCUAAAUCAAAAAUCUAAAACAAAUAUUGAAAUAUAUAAAUCUCACCAAAGUAUGAAAGGAGCAAGGAACGGAGGCGAGACCGGAGGCGAGACCCGAGACCGGAGGCGAGACCGGAGGCGAGAACUGAGCAACUACGAACGGAGGCAGCAGGGACGCACGGCGGGCGGAAUCGGCAGGAGAGGUCGAUGGGAG